AACGUAGGUGGCGAGCGUUAUCCGGAUUUACUGGGCGUAAAGGGUGUGCAGGCGGGCUGUUAAGUGGUGCAUGAAAUCUCCGCGCUUAACGUGGAGAGGCUGUGCCAGACUGGCAGUCUAGAGUACGAGAGAGGGUUGUGGAAUUCCCGGUGUAGUGGUGAAAUGCGUAGAUAUCGGGAGGAAUACCAGUGGCGAAGGCGGCUUCUUGGCCUGUUCUUGACGCUGAGGCGCGAAAGCUGGGGGAGCAAACGGG
rnacentral:rRNA from 1 species